GAAUGUGGUUUGCCGUGAGUGUUAUACCCCAUGAUGGCCCGGGUUGCCCAUGGGCCUGCGCGUCUGUACGGGAUGCACAUGGGCAGCAUGGUGGAUGCCCAUUGGGUGGCACCCGGAUUUACUGUUGCAAUCUCUCGCCUAACCAUGACCAUGUUUUCCAAAUCUGACCUGAUCACUAAAACCACCCAGCUACACAAACUGCUGAGAGACAGGAGAGAUGUUAAAACCACUCUUAAUGCAGAUUGUAACCCUGAAAUCACUCUCUUAUCUAAAGCCGAAUACUCUGCCCUAGCAUACACCUUGGUAGGAGUCCCAGGCUUAGCACUGUAUAAUACCCGAGUAGUUAAUGCUGUAACCUGUUCCCUUGCAAAAGGUUUAAAUGCCACUUCACACACCCUAGAAGAGCUACUUAUGGACAACCAGGCAAAUAAGAAUAGAGCAGCCAUUGACUACUUACUAAUGAAACAUGACUUAGGCUGUGAAGCUAUUGUAGUAUGUGCUGUUUUAACCUAUCUGACCAUGGCACUAUGAUCCAUAAACAUAUAAAAGAUUUACAUGACUUAGUACCGGAUAUCAAACAGGAUACUGGCUUCUUUGGGGAUUGGGAUUGGACAUUUGGGUUAGGAACAUGGUUGACUUUACUUAAGAAUAUUUUGUACUUUUUGCUAUUAGCUGUAUUUGUCAUUAUGGCCAUUUUUCUAACCUUUAGAUUUUUUUCAUGUGUAUUAACCUCUCUAUGUAAAAGCAAACCUACUGUUGGUCGUACCUUAACUUACAUUCCAGCUCCGACUUCGGAAAGGUUUUAUGAUGUUACCUCGCCUAACAAAUGAAGGAACUCUCCUCCGCUGAUUCUGGUGGUCUCUCAGACCGAAGGGAACCGUGGUGAAGCAAUAAAUGAAAGUCCCACAGGCUUUGGCUAGCAGGCCUGAAAAUACCUUGGACAUUUGGGUGACCCUUGGAUCAAAAGAGGGGAUUGUGAUAGAAUUUAUCUUGAUUCCAAGGUUCAAGCUUAUAGGUGUCAUAUAAUGAUAUCCUAUAUUAAAAUUGGCUAACUUGGACUCAGGAAAUGCUUGAUGCUUAAAAAACACUUAAGACCAGAUAUGUCUAGUUCCGGGAGCAGAGAGCCCCCACCUAAGAUGUCUCUUCUCUAAUCUUUUUGCUCUUUCUUACCUUGGAACUUAUUUGUUAUGUGUACAUGACGUUCAUCCCUAUGUAUUAUCUGUACUCCCUUCCUAUUACUGUUCUAUGAGUAUUUGCACGUAAGCACUUACUUUUUAAUGUAUAAAACCCAGCUGAUGAAUAAAACGUCAGAGGCUUAUUUUGAAUACCAA